UACGUAGGUGUCGAGCGUUGUCCGGAUUUAUUGGGCGUAAAGAGCCCGCAGGCGGCUUGUCUAGUCCGAGGUGAAAUCUCCCGGCUCAACUGGGAGGGUGCCUCGGAAACUGGCAGGCUUGAGGCAGGGAGAGGGAUGUGGAAUUCCAGGUGUAGUGGUGAAAUGCGUAGAUAUCUGGAAGAACACCAAUGGCGAAAGGCAAUGUUCUGGCUCGUUUCUGACGCUCAGGUGCGAAAGCCAGGGGAGCGAACGGG
rnacentral:rRNA from 1 species